rnacentral:rRNA from 1 species
UACGUAUGGAGCAAGCGUUAUCCGGAUUUACUGGGUGUAAAGGGUGCGUAGGUGGCAGUGCAAGUCAGAUGUGAAAGGCCGGGGCUCAACCCCGGAGCUGCAUUUGAAACUGCUCGGCUAGAGUACAGGAGAGGCAGGCGGAAUUCCUAGUGUAGCGGUGAAAUGCGUAGAUAUUAGGAGGAACACCAGUGGCGAAGGCGGCUUACUGGACGGUAACUGACGCUGAUGCUCGAAAGUGCGGGUAUCAAACAGG